AUUGAACGCUGGCGGCAUGCUUUACACAUGCAAGUCGAACGGUAACAGGCCGCAAGGUGCUGACGAGUGGCGAACGGGUGAGUAAUGCAUCGGAACGUGCCCAGUCGUGGGGGAUAACGCAGCGAAAGCUGUGCUAAUACCGCAUACGAUCUGUGGAUGAAAGCGGGGGACCGUAAGGCCUCGCGCGAUUGGAGCGGCCGAUGUCAGAUUAGGUAGUUGGUGGGGUAAAGGCUCACCAAGCCGACGAUCUGUAGCUGGUCUGAGAGGACGACCAGCCACACGGGGACGGAGACACGGCCUAGACUCCUACGGGAGGCAGCAGUGGGGAAUUUUGGACAAUGGGCGCAAGCCUGAUCCAGCAAUGCCGCGUGCAGGAAGAAGGCCUUCGGGUUGUAAACUGCUUUUGUACGGAGCGAAAAGGCUCUCUCUAAUACAGGGGGCUCAUGACGGUACCGUAAGAAUAAGCACCGGCUAACUACGUGCCAGCCGCCGCCGUAACAC
rnacentral:rRNA from 1 species